rnacentral:lncRNA from 1 species
UCUGGAUUCUGCUGGUCAGCAAACCUUCCUCGACAGCCCACUCUGUGCCAGCUCAGGCCCAGGCCCUCCACCUGUGUGGAGGUGGACUAGAGGGAGGAGAUCUCACAUAGAAAUCCAGGUAGGGGCAACAGGAGCCCAGCAGAGCUGCGUGCCUUUGGCAGGAGUAUGGGUUUGUGCAGAGGCCGGGGCCUGGCUGAUGACUUUUUCAGACUCUCCCAGCCCUAUUAGCCCAAGUCUUCGGGUCAGUGUGGCGGAGGUGUUGAGGUAGUCUUGAGGAACUGCAUGUUCCUGGCAGACUGUGGACAGACAGCCUGGAGGUUACCCCUGUCCGGUAAGAUCACGUGGUCUUAUCAAGUCCAAGUGUGUAUGUCGCUCUGCACCUGAGCACAGAGGCCAAGGUUGAUGAUAGUUCUCAGGGCCCCCAGUCCUGGCUGGCUGCACAUAUAACCCGCCAUCUCUCGCAGCCUCCUGCAGAUUUAAGAAUAUUGUCCCCAAACCAGCCAAAAAAAUAGAGCAGCCUGAUCCUCCAGGUUGAGAAUUCCCAGGCUUGGGGAGGGGGCUGCCUUUAUGUCUUUUCGACUUUGCAAAUUUAAUUUCUUCUGAUUAUUUCUUGACAGUCCCAGGCGUUGGUGGUAAACAACCGCUCUCCCCAGAAUGUUUCCCUGUGACAGCAGCUUUCUCUGGAGAGAGUGCUAUCAACACUUGGCAGGGCCUCCUCCCAGCUCCCGGCUCCCGGCUCCCGGCUCCCAGCUCGGGCUCCUGAGAAAGGAGAGCUUCUGAAAGGUGUUCAAGAAUGUGAUGCUCUCCUGGUGUGCCGGGGGUGCAGGUUGAGGGUGGGCAUGGGCUAGCCUCUUUGUUCCUCCCCGUGGCCAGCUGCCCAGCCUGGCCUGAGAGCCUUAAAUGGCCCCUGGCUGUGGAUGGUCCCCAAGUGGAGAGAUGGGGUGGUAUCGGGUGUCCGCUGGCUCCCGCAGCCCUGGUGCCCUGGUGCUUGGCACAGCUCAGCGACAGGAGGGAGCCCAUCUCCUGAGGACAGCUCUGCCAGGCCUGUCUGUGCCCGGGAGACCAGCAGUGUCCCGCCCUGCAGCUUCUGUGGUCUGCGUCACGCGCUGGCUUAGGUGUCCUGAGUCAGAGCCAGGAAAUGGAUCUGCCAAGCGGGGGUGGAGAUGCCACUGCCCCGGGCAGCUGGGGUGAACCCCAAUCUGCCUGUCCAUGCUGAGGGGGACCUGUCCUCGCAUAUCCCUCCCUGGCCUUUUGACCAGUGCAUGGAGGAGAGGCUGAGAUGACAGCAGGCUCCCUGCUCCAAAAACUGUUCCCCAGCCCCUGACCCCACAAGGCCAUAACUACAGGGCCGUUGACAGGAUGCAGCAUUCAGAUCGGGCACAACGAAGCUGCUGGGCCUCUGCCAGGGCUGUACCGAUUUUCUGGAAUGCCCUUCCUGGACUUCUGCUCUGGGAAGAAUUUACCCAAGAGUGACUUCUUUGGCAAAGCCUUUCCUGGCAGCUCCUCCUCCAGCCGAAGCUGUCCCCUUUUCCUCUGAGCCACCCUCUGACAACCUCCUUUUCGGCUCCUAUCACAGUGUCGUGUAAUCACGUUUUCCUGCAAAGGGCUCGAACAUUUGCCUGCCUGAGUGCUUUGAGACUUAUUUAUCAGUGCACCUCGCCUACCUGGUGUAUACUGGACGCUCCAUAAAAGCAGGCUGGAUUUAAUGAAGGAGGUUCCUGGAGGUGGGGUCAGAGUCUCCCUUUGUUAGUGACGUGGUAAAGAUGGGGUGGGGGGUUGCCAGCAGGGAGACUGACCUCCCCCACCAGAUCCCCUUCGAAGCCUCUGCCCAGGUAAUUGCUGGGGGCUGCAGCGGCCCCCUCCCCGUUUCCACGCAGGCAGUACCUUCCUUGCCAGCGGGAGUCGGCUCCCUGGGCUGCUCGUGUGAUCACUCUCCAGAAAACACCCCAGUGGAAACUGCAUGAAUGAUUGAUAAGAGCUGAGAGCUGUUUAAUUUUUCCCCCUGUUUAAUGGCUAUCAAUAAUUUAAUACGCUCUCUGUAUGUUUUUAAGAAAUAGCACCCAUUUUGCCGUCUCCGGUUUAGCGGGCUAAAUGAUUUAAGUGUUGGAAAUGUGCUCUGAGGAUGGAGGUUGAGAGUCGGAGGAAUCUGGAGGCUGGGGGUGGGGGAGGUGGGUUCAGAGCCAGCCAGCAGCAUCUUGGCCUGUGUGUGUGUGUGUGUGUGUGUGUGUGUGUGUGUGUGAAGGUGGGAGGGAGGGGGCGGGUAAAAGCCAGUGCCUUUCUGCUAAGAGCAAGAUAAUUGCUUUUCCGGGUCUCACUGAGCAGCAGCUGAACAGCUGUCAACUUACCCCUCCCCAGUGCUGAGCUUUUCUGGAUGACUCUGGGGGGCCCCGGGGGCUAGGAGGGAGCCGCUGCUGGUACCACCGUGGACUGAGCACCACCCUCCCCCUGACAGCUCUGCCCCCUCCUAAAGCUUUUAAAUCAUUUUUAUUUGAGCGAUGCAGUUAUUCUGCUGCCAGCCGUGUCUUCCAGAUAGCGUAGGGGUGGGUGUGGAGUGGGGGCGCGCUCAGAAUCACUAAUCUCGGGGCCCAAAGGGACCUGGAAGGUCAUUUGCCAGUGCUCCCCCAAACUUUCCAGAUGCACAGGAUCACCUGGGAGGACUUGUUAAAAAUUUAAAUUUCUGGGCUACAUUCCAGAGCCGCAGACUUCCAUUCUCUGGGGAGAGGCCUGGAAAGCUGUGGGUUUAACAAGAGCCCAGGUGAUUCUUAUCAUCAGAAGAGUUUGGGAAAUACGGGGUUCAGCUCCAGUUCUGAUGCGUCCAGUGCCCACAGUGCCACAUGGCCACUGCCUCUGCUUGCACACCUGUGGGGACGAGGCCCUUGCCAUUUGGUGAGACCACACUCCUACCUGAGGAAGGUGUGGCCCAGUUGGGAGCUCUUUCUGAUGUGAGGCUGGACCUGCCGGCUGCCCUCCCCUGCUCCUUAUGUGGACUCACCUCUGCUACAGGACAGACCCCCUCUCCUGGGGCCUGGCGUCCCGCCCUCUCCCAUCCCAGCCACCCUCUGGCUUUUCUGUGCCUCUCUGUUGGACGAGGAGCUUCCUUUCUUAGCAAAGGAAUCUGGGUACCAGAAAAAGCAUGUGGGUGGGGAUGGACUCUCCCCUCCAGGCCUGAGUGCCGCUUCCCAGGGGCAAGCUAGGUGACAUGGCUGGCCUGUGGUGGAUUGCAGUGGGCACAUCAGCCUCCUUCUGGCAGGCACCAUCGCCGGCCCAGUGAGGAUUCUGAGGGAGGCAGAAAGAUUCCUGAGCCUCAGAACCGCCUUGGCCUAUCAGGGGCCUGUCUUCCCACAGGAGAGACAAGUGUGACUCAUCAGAGACUGGUGACUAAGCUCAUCACUGGGAUGAGAGUGGAGGAGCUGAGGCCAGAGGGGGCUCUGUGGAGGACAGAACCGGAACUGCUAAGAUGGGGCAAGGGUCCAGAGAGGGCCCCCCAGGACUGAGGCCCUGGCGCCAGGGGUCAGCUGAGACCCCAGUCACUGAGGGCAGAAGGCAGCCAGGGGAGAGCUUCCACCUUCUUGCUUGGUCCUGAUGCAGAUGACUCAGUACAUGGAAGGAUUUUAGCAGAGCUGAUGCCCCGUCCAUCUGAUCAAACAACUCUUUCUUUGCUUUGGCAAUUUGCAUUGUUUCAGCAGAGAUGCAGUACUGCAUGCCGGUUGGACUGGCUAUUUUAUUUUAAUAGACAAUUAAGAAGAAAGGAGUGAUACCCUUUUACAGGUGUCAUCAUCUGCCUCCAAAUGGGGGACUCCUUUAGCCCUCCCCUUCUUCGUAGACCUUCUUUGCACCCCCAGGUUCAGCCCUGCCCUUAGUCUGUGUGGGAGAAGCCCAGGUCCCAGGAGGUGCUGACAUACGACCCAUCUUGUGAUCAUCAGGCGCCCCUGUGCCCCUUCAUCCCUGAAGCCUUCUCUCAUCAUCACAGCAUCACUGUGGGAGUCCCAACCCUAGGGGAGUAGGAAGAGGGGUGCCAUCUAAUCCUGACAGGACCCCUAUUUGGAGAGUUCCAAAAGCUGGGGAGACUGAAGGGAAAGACUUAACCCUGUGCUCAGAAAGACUCAGCUCUAGAGAGAGCACUAUGUGACUAUGGAUACUCAGGCAUGACCCUGGCAGUCAUGGAAGGCUUCCAGGAGGAAGUGCUGCCCACCUUCAGGCUUGAAGUAUGCCCGGGAGGAAGGGGAGAGGCAUUCCAGGUGCCCAGGUUUGAGGCAGUGUCUGUGACUGUGCUGAGAGCAGUAAGGUGAGGCCAGCAGGGCAGGGGCUGGGCUAGAGAGGUGGGCAGGCCAGGGUGGGGCUGGAUCUGGUCUGCCUGGGCUGAGAGCCACCAAAGGUUUAUUUGUGUUUGUUUUUAGCUUUGGUUGAAGCAUUACAUCCAUGCAGGAAAAGUGUGCACAGCCUAAGUGUAGCUUGACGAAUUGUCACAAAAUGAAUAUACUUAAGUAAUCACACUACAGAUCAAGAAACAGAACAUUCCAGAUCCCUUAGAACUCCCCUGCCCCCACCACGUACCUCCUUGCAGUCACUGUUCCCCCUCAAGGAUGAAGACUUCAUUAUCCUUACAUUAUCAAGAGCACAUGAUCAGUUAUCUAUUGUUGCCCAAAAAGCCACCCCAACACUUAGAGGCUUAAAACAAACAACCACCACCAUGUAUCAUGUCUCCUAAUUCUGUGGUUUCCCUGGGCAGUCCCUCUGCUGGUUUCCCUUGGGCUCAUGUGACUCCAGUCACCUGAAGGGCCGGCUGGACCAGAUGGUUGAAGAUGGCCUCAGUCACAGCUGGCAGUUGGUGCUGGCUGUUGACUGGGCAGCCUCAGUUCUCCUCCAUUCUCCAGUAACGUAGACCAGCUUCCUUCUGUGGACAGACUGCAGUCCAAGAGGGCAGGAUCCCUUGAGACCUGGGCUCUGUAAGUCACAAAAUACCACCUUUGCCAAGUCCUUUUGCUCACAUCAGGUCUCAAGGCCAGCCUGGAUUCAGGGGUGGAGGGUAGACUCCACCUCGUGAUGGAAGGAGCCACAAAGAAUCUGUGGCCAUAAAGAAUCUGUGGCCAUGUGCAAUUAGUCUGCCACAAGCAUAAAGUAGUAGUUUUGCUUGUCCUUGACCUUUUUCUGAAUGGACCCCUUAAAUGUGUUCUCCAUUGCGUCUGGCUUUUUUGGUCAACAUUGUGUUUGUAAGACUUGUCUGUAUUUUUGGAUACAGUUGCAGAUUAUUUGUUCUCAUUGCUGUGUGAUGUUCCAUUGUGUGGAUACACUGAUUUAUCCAUUCUACGGUUGAUGGCCAUUUGGAAGUUUUCAUUUUUUGGCACUUAUGAAUAGCAGCACUGUGAGCAUUCUAGGAUACAUCUUUGGGUGACCAUAUUGCACACACGUCUAUGGAGGUGGAAAUGCUAAGUUGCUGCUAGAGUAAUAUUAGGUGAUACUUCCAAAUCCUUCUCCAAGGUGGUGACCGGUGCAUCCCCUACCAGCAGUGUUUGGGAGGCCCAAAGGGGCUUUACGGAAUGGAGUAAGAUUGCCAGCGGGGGUUUUGGGAAGGCCCCCCAGCAGAAAAUGGGCUAGAGGGGUACCUCUAACCCUAGAAGUCCCUGUAAUGUCCCCUCUCUGCCUGCCUCUAGCCUUAGACCUCCAGGCUGAGAAAGGAGGGCCAUCAGGUCAGAUGACCCUGUUUUGAGUGUCAUUGCUCCCAUGCUCCUUUUCCCAUCCCAAGUCCCUCCUCCCACUGCCCUCUUCCAUUUACCCAGAGGUUCCCACGCUAGCCUGAUCCCCCACCUUCAGGGAAACUGGGUGCCGAAAAGAGCUGACACGUGAGGACGCAGGAGCUGGGAGGGACUCUGCCAUGGCAGCCUCCAUCCGUGACAGCACUGGGCAGUGGGCAAGACCGGGAGACUUGGGUUCCACUUCUGGCCUUGCCUCUCUCUUUGCCUGUCAGGGCCUCAGAUUCCUCAUUUACAACUUGGCAGAAAAGAGAGUUAACCUGGAGUUCCCGUUGUGGUUCAGUGGUUAACGAACCCAACUAGGAACGAUGAGGUUGAGGGUUCGAUCCCUGGCCUUGCUCAGUUGGUUAAGGAUCCGGCAUUGCCAUGAACUGUGGUGUAGGUCACAGACCCGGCUCAGAUCCCGCGUUGCUGUGGCAUGGGCCAGCGGCAACAGCUCCGAUU